ACGGGAGGCAGCAGUGAGGAAUAUUGGUCAAUGGGCGGAAGCCUGAACCAGCCAAGUCGCGUGAAGGAUGAAGGUAUUAUGUAUUGUAAACUUCUUUAGACGCAGAGAAAUAAGGGUGUCGUGACACCUGAUGCUAGUAUGCGUAGAAUAAGGAUCGGCUAACUCCGUGCCAGCAGCCGCGGUAAUACGGAGGAUGCAAGCGUUAUCCGGAUUUAUUGGGUUUAAAGGGUGCGUAGGCGGAUGAGUAAGUCAGCGGUGAAAUACCCCAGCUCAACUGGGGGGCUGCCGUUGAUACUGCUUAUCUAGAGUGCGAACGGCGCCGGCGGAAUGUGUCAUGUAGCGGUGAAAUGCUUAGAGAUGACACAGAACACCGAUCGCGAAGGCAGCUGGCGAGCACGACACUGACGCUGAGGCACGAAGGUGCGGGGAUCAAACAGGAUUAGAUACCCUGGUA
rnacentral:rRNA from 1 species